GUGUCUCGGGUGGUUGUAUGGUGUCUCAGGUGGUUGUUAUGGUGUAUUGGGUGGUUGUUAUGGUGUCUCGGGUGGUUGUUAUGGUGUAUUGGGUGGUUGUUAUGGUGUAUUGGGUGGUUGUUAUGGUGUAUUGGGUGGUUGUUAUGGUGUCUCGGGUGGUUGUUAUGGUGUAUUGGGUGGUUGUUAUGGUGUAUUGGGUGGUUGUUAUGGUGUCUCGGUGGUUGUUAUGGUGCAUUGGGUGGUUGUUAUGGUGUCUCGCAGGGUUGUUAUGGUGCUGCAAGUGUGGG